rnacentral:tmRNA from 1 species
ACAAUGAUCUUGCACUCGCUGCCUAAAUAGAGCAGCGACGCCGCCCGGUGUGUGUCUCCGACACCGGCCCCGGCGCCACUAAGGAGACUUACCGAAGCGGAGCCUGAUGGCGCUUUGCAAGGGACACUCAAGCCGUCUAGGAAGGGACUCGCGGGUCACCGUGCGACGUCCCGACCGAAUGCUAAUCGGUGACUGAGCCUGGAGAUGCUUCCCAGGGGGCUGUCGUGGACGCGAGUUCGAUUCUCGCCGCCUCCACCA